rnacentral:rRNA from 1 species
UAGGGAAUAUUGGGCAAUGGCCGAGAGGCUGACCCAGCCAUGCCGCGUGCAGGAAGAAGGCCUUCUGGGUUGUAAACUGCUUUUACCAGGGAAGAAAACGCUCUUGCGAGAGUAACUGACGGUACCUGGUGAAUAAGCACCGGCUAACUCCGUGCCAGCAGCCGCGGUAAUACGGAGGGUGCAAGCGUUGUCCGGAUUUAUUGGGUUUAAAGGGUGCGUAGGCGGCCCGUUAAGUCAGCGGUGAAAUCCCAGGGCUCAACCCUGGAACUGCCGUUGAUACUGGCGGGCUUGAGUUCGGUCGAGGCGGGCGGAACUGGUGGUGUAGCGGUGAAAUGCAUAGAUACCACCAAGAACCCCGAUUGCGAAGGCAGCUCGCUGGCCCGAAACUGACGCUGAGGCACGAAAGCGUGGGGAGCGAACAGGAUUAGAUACCCUGGUAGUCCACGCCGUAAACGAUGAUUACUCGAUGUUUGCGAUACACUGCAAGCGUCCAAGCGAAAGACG